rnacentral:rRNA from 1 species
UAAGGUUAAGUUAAUAAGGGCGCACGGUGGAUGCCUUGGCACUAGGAGCCGACGAAGGACGUGACAAACGACGAUAUACCUUGGGUAGCUGUAAGUAAGCGAUGAUCCAGGGAUUUCCGAAUGGGGGAACCCAACAGGUAAUACCUGUUACCCACAUCUGUUAAGGAUGUGAGGAGGAAGACGCAGUGAACUGAAACAUCUAAGUAGCUGCAGGAAGAGAAAGCAAAAGCGAUUGCCUUAGUAGCGGCGAGCGAAACGGCAGAAGGGCAAACCGAAGAGUUUACUCUUCGGGGUUGUAGGACUGCAAUGUGGACUCAAAGAUUAUAGAAGAAUGAUUUGGGAAGAUCAGCCAAAGAGAGUAAUAGCCUCGUAUUUAAAAUAGUCUUUGUACCUAGCAGUAUCCUGAGUACGGCGGGACACGUGAAAUCCCGUCGGAAUCUGGGAGGACCAUCUCCCAACCCUAAAUACUCCCUAGUGACCGAUAGUGAACCAGUACCGUGAGGGAAAGGUGAAAAGCACCCCGGGAGGGGAGUGAAAUAGAACCUGAAACCGUGUGCCUACAACAAGUUCGAGCCCGUUAAUGGGUGAGAGCGUGCCUUUUGUAGAAUGAACCGGCGAGUUACGUUAUGAUGCGAGGUUAAGUUGAAGAGACGGAGCCGUAGGGAAACCGAGUCUGAACAGGGCGAAUUAGUAUCAUGACGUAGACCCGAAACCAUGUGACCUACCCAUGAGCAGGUUGAAGGUGCGGUAAGACGCACUGGAGGACCGAACCAGGGCACGUUGAAAAGUGCUUGGAUGACUUGUGGGUAGCGGAGAAAUUCCAAACGAACUUGGAGAUAGCUGGUUCUCUCCGAAAUAGCUUUAGGGCUAGCGUCGACAUUAGAGAUUCUUGGAGGUAGAGCACUGUUUGGGUGAGGGGUCCAUCCCGGAUUACCAAUCUCAGAUAAACUCCGAAUGCCAAUGAAUUAUGGUCGGCAGUCAGACUGCGAGUGCUAAGAUCCGUAGUCGAAAGGGAAACAGCCCAGACCACCAGCUAAGGUCCCAAAAUAAUUGUUAAGUGGAAAAGGAUGUGGGGUUGCACAGACAACUAGGAUGUUAGCUUAGAAGCAGCUAUUCAUUCAAAGAGUGCGUAAUAGCUCACUAGUCGAGUGACCCUGCGCCGAAAAUGUACCGGGGCUAAAACAAUUUACCGAAGCUGUGGAUACCUUUAUAGGUAUGGUAGGAGAGCGUUCUAUGUGUGAUGAAGGUAUACCGUGAGGAGUGCUGGAACGCAUAGAAGUGAGAAUGCCGGUAUGAGUAGCGAAAGACAGGUGAGAAUCCUGUCCACCGUAAGACUAAGGUUUCCAGGGGAAGGCUCGUCCGCCCUGGGUUAGUCGGGACCUAAGGAGAGACCGAAAGGUGUAUCCGAUGGACAACAGGUUGAUAUUCCUGUACUAGAGUAUGUAGUGAUGGAGGGACGCAGUAGGCUAACUAAAGCAGACGAUUGGAAGAGUCUGUCCUAAGCAGUGAGGUGUGAAUUGAGUCAAAUGCUUAAUUCUAUAACAUUGAGCUGUGAUGGGGAGCGAAGUUUAGUAGCGAAGUUAGUGACGUCACACUGCCAAGAAAAGCUUCUAGCGUUUUAAACAUACUCUACCCGUACCGCAAACACACACAGGUAGUCGAGGCGAGUAGCCUCAGGUGAGCGAGAGAACUCUCGUUAAGGAACUCGGCAAAAUGACCCCGUAACUUCGGGAGAAGGGGUGCUGACUUUAGGUCAGCCGCAGUGAAUAGGCCAAGCAAACUGUUUAUCAAAAACACAGCUCUCUGCUAAAUCGUAAGAUGAUGUAUAGGGGGUGACGCCUGCCCGGUGCUGGAAGGUUAAGAGGAGUGCUUAGCGUAAGCGAAGGUAUGAAUUGAAGCCCCAGUAAACGGCGGCCGUAACUAUAACGGUCCUAAGGUAGCGAAAUUCCUUGUCGGGUAAGUUCCGACCCGCACGAAAGGCGUAAUGAUUUGGGCACUGGUCUCAACGAGAGACUCGGUGAAAUUUUAGUACCUGUGAAGAUGCAGGUUACCCGCGGACAGGACGGAAAGACCCCAUGGAGCUUUUACUGCAGUUUGAUAUUGAGUGUCUGUACCACAUGUACAGGAUAGGUAGGAGUCU